UCCCUGAUGGCUCAGACGGUAAAGCGUCUGCCUGCAACGCGGGAGAUCCGGGUUUGAUCCCUGGGUUGGGAA
rnacentral:tRNA from 1 species